CGUAGGUGGCAAGCGUUGUCCGGAUUUACUGGGCGUAAAGAGCGCGCAGGCGGUCGUUCAAGUCGCGUGUGAAAGCCCCCGGCUCAACUGGGGAGGGUCACGCGAUACUGAUCGACUCGAAGGCAGGAGAGGGUAGUGGAAUUCCCGGUGUAGUGGUGAAAUGCGUAGAUAUCGGGAGGAACACCAGUGGCGAAGGCGACUACCUGGCCUGCUUCUUGACGCUGAGGCGCGAAAGCUAGGGGAGCAAACGGGAUUAGAUACCCCGGUAGUCCUAGCCGUAAACGAUGGACACUAGGUGUUGGUGGUAUCAACCCCGCCAGUGCCGAAGCUAACGCAUUAAGUGUCCCGCCUGGGGAGUACGGCCGCAAGGCUA
rnacentral:rRNA from 1 species